rnacentral:rRNA from 1 species
CGCGUAGGCGGAAAGGUCAGUCAGAUGUGAAAUCCCGGGGCUUAACCCCGGAACUGCAUUUGAAACUUCCUUUCUAGAGGGUAGAUGGAGAAAAUGGAAUUCCACAUGUAGCGGUGAAAUGCGUAGAUAUGUGGAAGAACACCAGUGGCGAAGGCGGUUUUCUAAUUUAUACCUGACGCUGAGGCGCGAAAGCAAGGGGAUCAAACAGGAUUAGAUACCCUGGUAGUCC